AGUCAUUGUAGCAAUACAAGGCAUACGGCUCAGUAACGCGUAGUCAACCUAACCUAUGGACGGGAAUAACCUCGGGAAACUGAGAAUAAUGCCCGAUAGAACAUUAUACCUGGAAUGGUUUAUGUUCCAAAUGAUUUAUCGCCGUAGGAUGGGACUGCGGCCUAUCAGUUUGUUGGUGAGGUAAUGGCCCACCAAGACUAUUACAGGUACGGGCUCUGAGAGGAGUAGCCCGGAGAUGGGUACUGAGACACGGACCCAGGCCCUAUGGGGCGCAGCAGGCGAGAAAACUUUGCAAUGUGCGAAAGCACGACAAGGUUAAUCCGAGUGAUUUCUGCUAAAGAAAUCUUUUGUUAGUCCUAGAAACACUAACGAAUAAGGGGUGGGCAAGUUCUGGUGUCAGCCGCCGCGGUAAAACCAGCACCUCAAGUGGUCAGGAUGAUUAUUGGGCCUAAAGCAUCCGUAGCCGGCUCUGUAAGUUUUCGGUUAAAUCUGUACGCUUAACGUACAGGCCGCCGGGAAUACUGCAAAGCUAGGGAGUGGGAGAAGUAGACGGUACUCGGUAGGAAGUGGUAAAAUGCUUUGAUCUAUCGAUGACCACCUGUGGCGAAGGCGGUCUACUAGAACACGUCCGACGGUGAGGGAUGAAAGCUGGGGGAGCAAACCGGAUUAGAUACCCGGGUAGUCCCAGCUGUAAACUAUGCAAACUCAGUGAUGCAUUGGCUUGUGGCCAAUGCAGUGCUGCAGGGAAGCCGUUAAGUUUGCCGCCUGGGAAGUACGUACGCAAGUAUGAAACUUAAAGGAAUUGGCGGGGGAGCACCACAAGGGGUGAAGCCUGCGGUUCAAUUGGAGUCAACGCCGGA
rnacentral:rRNA from 1 species